UACGUAGGGACCGAGCGUUGUCCGGAUUCAUUGGGCGUAAAGAGCUCGUAGGCGGCCACUCAAGUCGAAUGUGAAACCUCGAGGCUUAACCUCGAGCCUGCAUUCGAUACUGGGCGGCUAGAGUCUGGUAGGGGGAUCUGGAAUUCCUGGUGUAGCGGUGGAAUGCGCAGAUAUCAGGAGGAACACCGGUGGCGAAGGCGGUUCUCUGGGCAUGAUCUGACGCUGAGGAGCGAAAGUGUGGGGAGCGAACAGG
rnacentral:rRNA from 1 species